rnacentral:rRNA from 1 species
CACCUGAUCCAGCCAUGCCGCGUGAGUGAUGAAGGCCCUAGGGUUGUAAAGCUCUUUUGUGCGGGAAGAUAAUGACGGUACCGCAAGAAUAAGCCCCGGCUAACUUCGUGCCAGCAGCCGCGGUAAUACGAAGGGGGCUAGCGUUGCUCGGAAUCACUGGGCGUAAAGGGUGCGUAGGCGGGUUUUUAAGUCAGGGGUGAAAUCCUGGAGCUCAACUCCAGAACUGCCUUUGAUACUGAAGAUCUUGAGUCCGGGAGAGGUGAGUGGAACUGCGAGUGUAGAGGUGAAAUUCGUAUAUAUUCGCAAGAACACCAUUGGCGAAGGCGGCUCACUGGCCCGGUACUGACGCUGAGGCACGAAAGCGUGGGGAGCAAACAGGAUUAGAUACCCUGGUAGUCCACGCCGUAAACGAUGAAGGCCAGCCGUUAGUGGGUUUACUCACUAGUGGCGCAGCUAACGCUUUAAGCAUUCCGCCUGGGGAGUACGGUCGCAAGAUU